GAUAUACUGGUGCCCAUAUGGGAUCCUGGUGCUUGAAGGGGGAGGAUUAGCCGAUUGGACUAUUGUUCUGGGUCCUAUUUUCUUUGUCUGCUAACUAUGUGAGGUGUGAUUCUAAGGUUACUUUUCUUUCCAUCUUCUAAGGUAAGGGCUGUGUGGGAGUUGUGGUUAGGAGCUUGGGGAAGCAGAAAUGUAAUUUGGGGGCAAGGUUGAUUUAAGGACAGAAGGCUGUAGUGGGUACCAGGUCUUAGUGCCAUGCAGACCUAUUCAUGGUUGUCUUUAGAGACCAUUUUUGCUACUUCCCUUUACAAUGAGAAGGAAGAAAUGAAUUACAUGUUGCUUUACUAAGAUAGAUGUACUAAUGGAGCUAACAGUAUUUUCCAUAUGAAUUAGCGCAAGGUUUUUCUGUGCAUUUUGAAUGUCACUUGUUUAUUUUUAACUCUAUGGGCAAAUAUAACUCUAUAUUUCUUCAAGAUAAAGUCCCAGUUCCGUAACUGUGAAACACUGAUGAAAAUCAAAGGUCUUUUUUGAUCAGAUUAUUUGAGGUUCAAAUAAAUCUUUAUGAUCACUGUCAGCACUUUAAAUGUGUUCUUUGGAGAAUCUAGUUACUUUUUGAUUUUCUAUGUGUUUGUUCUGUGUUUUGGGAUGGACUUUUUCUUAAGCAUCUGACAAACUCUUUUAGGAAACAGCUAAAUGAUCUAUGCUUUCCUUGUCUUUGUCUGAAACUGUUUCUUCCAGUACUGAUUUUAUUAUUUUUGUUUUGCUUGUCACUUUAGCUGAAGAAUUCUUUAAACGUAGAGCUUGAUAUGUUUGAUUUUCUAUUGGUGCUUUAUUUUCUUUUUAAAGAUUUAUUUAUGUGAAAGGCCGAGUUACAGAGAGAGAGGAAAAGCUGGAUUGAGAAAAAGAUCUGUGCCCUGGUUCGCUGCUCAGAUGACUGUGGGGCUGGACUAAGCUGCUGUCAGGAGGGCAGUAAUCUGUUUGGGCUUAGCACCUGUAUGGCUAGGGUCCAGGUACUCAUGCCAGAUUUUCUGCUUUCCCAGGUACUUCAGCAAAAAGCUGGAUCAGAAACAGAGCAGCCCGGGCCUAAGCGUCAGCAUUGUGAUAGGAGACGCUGGUGUUGAAAGCCAUGUUUUAACUUGCUGUGUUCCGUUUCUUAUGUAGCUUCUGCCACAUAGUGGAUGGGACAUUAGCAUAAGACAUUUGAAUAAAACUUCACGGUACUAUUUUAGCAGAUUUGGUUACAUCUUAGUUGUGUACUCGGUGCUAAUCCUGAAUAAAGUGACAGGCAAUGCAGAGGGAAUUGCAAAUCGAACUUUUAAAUUAAGUGAACCUACAGAUAGCUCUGAGAGUCACUUAUACAUAUAUCCUUCAGCAUGUUGGAAGAUGUGAUGGCCAAAUGUGCGUAGACAGACAUUAUGAGCAAAUGAUUGAUUUGAGUAGAUAUGAGAGUCAUGGUUUAUAAACAAAAUGAAAAGCAAAGGGACAAUGUUUUUCUAUGCUGUUGUGUGGAAGAAAAGUAUAGACUGAUGCUGUGAGGGUAACAGGAGGCCUCCAGUGACAUCACUGGCAUAAACAAGACUGCCUAAGAGAUACGGAUGAGUUUAUAAAACUGUGUCACAUAAUGCAAUGUAAUUAGUAAUAGAAAAAAAAAGAGAUACAGGAUGAGUCAGUGUUAAGUAUCAAAUGAGAAUCUGGCCUUUUGCAGCAUGUAGAUAAUGGAUGGGGUUGAGUUUUUAAUGGCUUUUUAUUUGUUGUUCAAAGUUUACUUUUAUUUCCUUCUGCAUUUAGAUUUUUUACUGUUUCUCCAAAUGGUUGUAAGCUUAGAACAUGACCACAGUACAGCUUAAUUCAUUACAUUUCUUUUGAUUUGCCUUGAGGACUUAGUAAAUGUAAUUGAUUUACUUUUUCACUAAUUUUGUUUAUCAGUAGAGCACCUGCUGGAGUUAGAUGACCUUUCUUUUUCACUAAAGGCUAAUAAUUACCUUUAAAUUUCCAAACUUCUUAGGGGAUCAGCAAGGGAUCAGGCUUAACUUCAGCCCCAGGAGGUCAAAAUGUUUUUUAAAAGGGGUGUUGUAGAAUAAAGGACAAUAUAAAAAUUUAUACGGGUGUUUAACGAUAAUAACUCCUUAGUGGAGAGAUAAUGAUGCAGUUUGCAAAGUAAAGCCGUGCAGUCCCAGUUUGUUGUUACGGCUAUUGCUACAACCAUCACUGUGACUUUCCCACCUGUCCCGAACCUUCUCAACCUUCUGGAGAAGUAAUGCUUUUGUAAAAUAAGAAGUUAGUGUGGAGGCUUUGGGGAGCAACUGUGGGUGUUUAUGUUCUUUAUUGAGAAUUUACUUCCUGUUCUUAUUCAGAGAAUUUAUUGGCAGUGAAUGUUGUGUUUCAUCAGCUGCAUUCCGCUUACUUACUCAGACAUGGGAUGUGGCUAUUAUGGCAAGCUACUUUGAAUGACUUUUGAUUGUUACACUCAGACUUAUAUUGGGAUAAAU